rnacentral:rRNA from 1 species
AUUGAACGCUGGCGGCAGGCCUAACACAUGCAAGUCGAGCGAGCGGCGGACGGGUGAGUAAUGUCUGGGAAACUGCCUUAUGGAGGGGGAUAACUACUGGAAACGGUAGCUAAUACCGCAUAACAUCAGAUGUGCCCAGAUGGGAUUAGCUAGUAGGUGGGGUAACGGCUCACCUAGGCGACGAUCCCUAGCUGGUCUGAGAGGAUGACCAACCACACUGGACAUGAGCCACGGGCCAGACUCCUACGGGAGGCAGCAGGGGGGAAUAUUGCACAAUGGGCGCAAGCCUGAUGCAGCCAUGCCGCGUGGGUGAAGAAGGCCUUCGGGUUGUAAAGCACUUUCAGCGGGGAGGCGUUACCCGCAGAAGAAGCACCGGCUAACUCCGUGCCAGCAGCCGCGGUAAUAC